rnacentral:misc_RNA from 1 species
AUAGAGGGCUCACUCUAUAAGCUGGCGUCGCGUACGGGUACGAAGUCGUAAUGUAGGUCGAUGUGUCAGGAUUCGAAAAUGAAUACAAAGUGCAUUAUUCGUAAGUCACGAAUGUCAACCAUAAUGUAGCAUUUGAGUGAGGACAUGUGGACCGUCAGACUAUUUGAGUGAGGACAUGUGGACCGUCAGACUAUUUCGAUCAACAUCAAGCAGGAGUUCAUUUCUUCAUCUGCCGCUGAACUUCCAGUGCAGUUUUCUGAGCAGUUCACAGACAGCAGAGGUAUUGAGACCAUUCAUCUUUGCAGUCCAUCCUGAUUUCUUUGGCCAGCAUCCCAAGGAACGAGCUGUGAAUGAGCAUUCUCUGAAGCAGCUGUAUGCACACCUGGAGACUAUCCGAGAUGAAUCGGCACGGGUGACACCCAAGGAUCUGACGUUCUACCUGCGCAACAGCCGAAGAGAACGGUCCUCCCAGCAAGGUCACUCUGUCUUCCGGUCAGUCACAGUCAGCCUGCUGAACAGAGACAUCUACACCACAGUCAACAACCUCCUAGAGACAUGCAGCCUGCCCACCAACAACCUGCAAGAGAUCUCAGCCAGUCGACCCCUUCCCUUCCCCAGACCCAUAGAGUGGCACCACUCCUACUAUGCCUACACCGGCAAGACCGACCCGUAUGCAGAGGUGAAAGCCAAACGCCAGCCAGCUAAAGAUUCUUUAAGAAACUGGUUGAGGACAAAUGUCCCAAUAGCUAGGAGAAAUCUUGAGUCCAGUCUCCCAAUCCGGCAGGAGACAGAGCGUCUCAAUGACAGUCUUAAGGAGCAACUGGGCCUGGAGGAGUUGAGAUGGAUGUCCCGAUGGGAUGUCAACACAUUCAGGGCCUGCCUGAGGUCCAUGGCUAAGCUGCGGCAGGGACACUCCCAAAUAAUGGACAAUUUAAGAGGAAAGAGACUAGUGUUUGGAAGCUUGACUGGUGUAUCAAGAGAGGGUCAUGUGAUGCUGAGCAAUAAAAAUGUGGAACAGCAGUGGCUUGCAUUCCUGAGCAGCCUGCCCCAGCAGAUGAAAAUCCUGGACCACCUGUCCGUAGCAGAGCGACAGCUCUCGGAUUUCCUAGGGGGCAGCCUGAGGCUGUCCAGGCACUGCUGUCGUAAUCUCAUGCCGGCCCAGACCUACCUGGCAUUGCUCCACAAGAUGAGCGGCGGGCUCCAGCGGUACCGUCGGACGGUGGAAGGCGAGCGUGACUGCCAAAGAAUAUCCAGAGGACUCCUGGCCGAUGUGGAAAUUAAUGUUGUCGGUGAUUCUGGUCGGAUGUACGUGUCUUCUAGAGGUGCACUCCAUGUGACCGCAUCCAGCCAGCCACCAGAGCUCAUCAACUUCCUCCUGGACAAUGGAUUCCGGGUCAAAGAUAUCAGGAGGCACCAUCAGAGAUAUCUCCUGGAAGAGAUUGCUGCCAUCCAGGCCUGCGUGGAAGAACUGGACCUGACCGCGUUGACUAAAGACGACUCAGUGACGGCCGAAGAAAUGGUGUCCUGCUGCAAGAGACUCACAGAGAAUCCCUUGGAGCUGGGCGUGUCCUUACGGGAUGCCAGCAUACGCGUGGGUCACGUCUACAUGGUGCUAUGGGGUGGGGAGCUAUGCAUACCCUGGAACUGGAAGGAUUGACCCUGGGGAGAGGGGGGGAGUUGGAGUGUUAAAACAGACUGUCCAUCCAUUUUACUGACUGCCAUAAUUUGUAACCAAAAGCCUGCCAGUGUGGACAGUGUGAUGUUACAAAAUGUUGCAAAAACAAUUUUGUCGUAGGGAGGGGGAGGGGUGUGUGUGUGUGCAAAUAUUUUAUUGAUAUUCUCAGGUCAGCUUUUGAAACCUCUCUUGGGGGGGGGGGCAUUAAACCAACCCACCCACCUCUCUCGCUACACCACCAAUAGCAUCUGAAAAUCAGUCACCAUAAGAAUGCCCUCCAGUUUAAAGCAGGAUAAAUACAAUUUGAGGUCUGCGUUGUAAAGAGUACAACUAUGAAGACGUUUGUUGAAACACCGUGUCAGAAAAGGAUGAAAAAGAAAACAGAACGAGAGACGUAUCUUCACAUUUCUCACACAUCUCUCUCUCUUUUUACCUGCAAAGAUGGAAAGAACUUAUGUUACAGAAUGUCUGGAUGCUUUUGGUUUUCAUCUGGCAUAAUAUGGGGGGGGGGGAGGGAAAUGGGAAAAUGUAUAUGUAUUCAAAGGCCAACAGCACCACACCUACUUGAACAUGUAUAAAUUUUGAAUAAAUAAUGUCUCUUUUAAAUGGUUUGUUUGAUAUACAAGUCAAAGUGUGCUAAACAUUUAAGCAUCUAAGGGAAUAAAUAUGUGCUUGACUGGUUUAAAACAAGUAUGUUUUGGAUCGGGCCAUUAUCCGCAACCAGGCACCUAGCUGGUUUUAAACGUACUCGUUUAAUACCGGCCAAGCAUAAAUUUAUUCCCAUUCAUAAAUACCUUUCGAUCAUAUCUAGUCGAAACAA